rnacentral:rRNA from 1 species
GUCCUAGCCGUAAACGUUGGGUGCUAGGUGUGGGGCGGCGUUUGACCCGCUCCGUGCCGAAGCUAACGCAUUAAGCACCCCGCCUGGGGAGUACGGCCGCAAGGCUAAAACUCAAAGGAAUUGACGGGGCCCGCACAAGCGGCGGAGCAUGUGGCUUAAUUCGACGCAACGCGAAGAACCUUACCAGGGCUUGACAUGCGGGGUGAAGCCGUAGAAAUACGGUCCUCCUUCGGGAGCCCGCACAGGUGCUGCAUGGCUGUCGU